ensembl:lncRNA
ACAUUAAUUUAGCUAGUUGUGCAAGAUAUUUUCUAGAUACAAUAAUCUUAAAUGUGUGCAUGUUUUUGUUGUUGUUGACAAAACAACAUCUGAUUCAAAGGGAGUGUGCCAGAUUUUAAAACACAGAGCACCCGUGUAUCCUCGGCUGAAGAAGGCAAUUGAGGAGAGCAGAAAGUUCUCCUUUUAACGAAUUUUCACCCCUACAUACUGUAUGAAGAACACUUAUCGGUUUCCGGGUUAAGGACAGAGUAGAGGGGGACAAAAGAGUCGAGGAGAGGACAGACAUUUUCCAAUUGAGAAUCUCCCACUGUCAUGGAUGGAUUCGCAUCAUAGACUCGCAGUGUCUUGUAAACCAUUUCUCUCGCCAGUGUUUGUUUCCUAGUUUUCCUGGUUCUGACCAUUCUGCCUGCCCUGACCCCGAGCCUGUCUGCCAUCCUGUACCUACCUGACUCUGACCUGAUUACAAACCUUUGCCUGCCCUUUUCCCUGUGUUAUAACAAGUUAUUGAUAACUGUACUAUCUGCCUCCUGUGUCUGCAACUAGGUCAUAUCCUGAGUCCUGAUGAUGACGAAACAUUGUUUUACUGCUCUAAUUACGUUGGUAACCAGUUUAUAAUAGCAAUAAGGCUCCUCUGGGGUUUGUGAUAUAUGGCCAAUAUACCAUGACUAAGGGCUGUGUCCAGGCACUCCGCGUUGCGCCUAAGAACAGCCCUUAGCCGUGAUAUAUUGGCCAUAUACCACACCUCCACUGGCCUUAUUGCUUAAUUAUGUAAUUUAUACAACUGUAUAACAGAGGUCCUUAAAUUAAAGUACAUUUAAGUGCUUGAGAAAGUCCCUGAAAGUCCUUGAAUUUGACUUGCCAUCUCUGUGCAUUAAAAUUUCC